AACUGCCUGGGUUGCAGCCCAGCCCCAUUAUAUCAGAACUGGUGGGGGUGGGGCCUAGACAUCAGUGUUUGUUUAAAGAUCCCGGAUGACUCCGAUGUCCAGUCCUGGCCACAGCCAGGGCGGCCCUGACUGAUCUCAGACCAUCUUCAAACAGCCCCCUGUCUGAACUCAGGUAAGUUACUGGAAUUGCAGUUCUUUGGUCUGCUUUCCACCACGGGAAGAUCCAGCUUCCCCUGUCCCAGAGGAACCUCUGCCAUCUGGCCUCUGCCCACCUCGCCAGUCUCUCCUGGACCCCGCCCUUCUCUCCCAUGGCCCUUCCGUUCUUUUCUGGCCCUUAAAUACAUCCUUCCUUCCAGAACCUCUGCACCUGUAGUCUCCUUUGCCUCCUUCUGAUAGCAUAUUCUUUCCCCAGGUCCUCCCACAUCCGACUUACCAUGCAGGCCUGAGGAGAAGGCCUUCUGUGACAAGCCGUCUCUAACCUCGCCUGGUGGCUGCCAUCUCAUUACUGCAUUGUUUCCAGUGUAGCAGGUCCCGCAUGAAGUCAUCUUGUUUGUCUACUUCAGAGCUGCCAACUGAAUGUGCCCGCGCUAGACUGUUGGCUGAUGUGAGAGACACAUGGACUCACCAUUGCCCCAGAUGACAGCCAGCCAGCUUCCAAAGCAGAGCUCCCUGGUGACUUGGCAGCUGAUCUUAGACGCAUGAGCGUGCCCAGCCAGGACCAGCGGAAGAAUUGCCCAGCUGGUCCCAGUCUAAAUUGCUACCUCUUGAAUUGUGAGUUACAAAUAAAUGGUAGUUGUA